CGGGGGCCAGCUCUUCGGAGACACGUUCCUCAGACUGAAGGGCAAGGUUCCACGGUAAUGGGAAAGCAAAAUGAUUCAAAUUCCAGAUCUUUGCCAUCACCAUGAGAAGAAUAUACGCUGGCUAGCUACUGGCUCCAAAAGGAGAAUGGAGAAUACGUAAAGCCAGAACCACCCCAGCAAACCCAAAGAUGAAUGAUCAUCUUAAGAGUUUGGUGCUGUUAUUGCCCUUGCCUGACUGGGCCAGUUGUCAUGUCUGCAUUCCUUCCUGUGUAAGUCAGCUGAAGACUUGAAUAGAACAAAAGACAGACCUCCCCCAAGUAAGAGGGAAUUCUGCCUUCGACUUGAACUGCAGCAUUGACUCUUCCCUGAGUCUCCAGCCUCCUGGCCCACCCUGCAGAUUUUGGACUUGUUAACCUCCAUAAUUAGAACUGCAGCUGGAAGACAAGUUGACAGUCAUAUGUCCCACUUCAAUAACUAAUCCAUAUCAUGGAUUUUUCUAGGUGACUCUUCUACAUUGAGGCUGUAAAAUCUGUAAACUCCUUUCCAUGAAGAAUCAUACCUUACUUAUAUAUUUGGAAUGCACAUAGCUGCAGAAAUCAACUCUUCCUUGUCAUCAGUGACCCCAACCCUCAGUAAUGUCUCUUUUUCCUAACUGGAAAGUUGCUUGGAGGAUCCAAGGAGCUCAGGUACAAGGAGAGUGUCUGGCACAACAUUAGUACUAUGUGAGCUUUAGCACUAUGGGUUUCAUUUAUAGAAACUCACAAUGUCUGUAAUGCACAGAAAGGUUAUGCACUCAAGGUUACCUGGUGGGUAAGUGGCAAAGGGGAAUGGAGACUUGGGCCUUUAACUCUUCAUCAGAAUUUGUAACAGAGCUCUCUAAAUGAUUGCAUCUGUCCCACGGUCCCUGUGACCCUGGCUGUCUGGCUAAUGAAAUAUGCAUAAAGGACACUCUGGAAAAUUAGACCAUUUAUUAUUAGCUAGAGCUUAGUUCUAGCUCUUUGAGAAAAAAAAAAUGAUUUUCUAGUUUAAGUUCUAAAUUAAAAUUAGAUAAGCAAGUUUCUUGGUCCUUUACUUUGA